UGGGGAAUAUUGCACAAUGGGCGCAAGCCUGAUGCAGCCAUGCCGCGUGUAUGAAGAAGGCCUUCGGGUUGUAAAGUACUUUCAGCGGGGAGGAAGGGAGUAAAGUUAAUACCUUUGCUCAUUGACGUUACCCGCAGAAGAAGCACCGGCUAACUCCGUGCCAGCAGCCGCGGUAAUACGGAGGGUGCAAGCGUUAAUCGGAAUUACUGGGCGUAAAGCGCGCGCAGGCGGUUUGUUAAGUCAGAUGUGAAAUCCCCGGGCUCAACCUGGGAACUGCAUCUGAUACUGGCAAGCUUGAGUCUCGUAGAGGGGGGUAGAAUUCCAGGUGUAGCGGUGAAAUGCGUAGAGAUCUGGAGGAAUACCGGUGGCGAAGGCGGCCCCCUGGACGAAGACUGACGCUCAGGUGCGAAAGCGUGGGGAGCAAACA
rnacentral:rRNA from 1 species